rnacentral:rRNA from 1 species
UACGUAGGGUGCGAGCGUUAAUCGGAAUUACUGGGCGUAAAGCGUGCGCAGGCGGUUCGUUGUGUCGGCGGUGAAAGCCCUGGGCUCAACCUGGGAAUUGCAGUGGAUACUGGCGAGCUAGAGUGCGGUAGAGGAUGGUGGAAUUCCCGGUGUAGCGGUGAAAUGCGUAGAGAUCGGGAGGAACACCCGUGGCGAAGGCGGCCAUCUGGACCAGCACUGACGCUGAGGCACGAAAGCGUGGGGAGCAAACAGG